GACCAACCAUCCUGAUUUGCCUGGGACUGAGAGGGUUCUGGGGUCGCUGGACUUUCAGUGCUACACACGGGAAAGU
rnacentral:pre_miRNA from 14 species